rnacentral:rRNA from 1 species
UGGGGAAUAUUGCGCAAUGGGCGAAAGCCUGACGCAGCAACGCCGCGUGGAGGAUGAAGGUCUUCGGAUUGUAAACUUCUGUCUAGUGAGAGAAAAGAGUUGCUAAUAAAACGGGCAAUUGAUGAUAGUAUCACUAAAGAAAGCACUGGCUAAUCUCGUGCCAGCAGCCGCGGUAAUACGAGAGGUGCAAGCGUUAUUCGGAAUCAUUGGGCGUAAAGGGUGCGUAGACGGCUUUGCAAGUCUGUUGUUAAAGAUCCUGGCUUAACCAGGAGAGUGCAAUGGAAACUGUAAUGCUAGAGGGUGAGAGAGAGAAGUGGAAUUCCAGGAGUUAGCGGUCAAAUGCAUAGAUCUCUGGAGGAACACCGAUGGCGAAGGCAGCUUCUUGGCUCAUUCCUGACGU